UCUCUCUCUCUCUCUUUCCCCUUUUAUCUUCACUAGUCCAAUACUCUUUUUCUUCUAUGGGAGUUUUCUGCUGCCUCAUCCCCUACCUGUCGCCACCUCACACUUGUUCCACUCACUUUGUCUAGCCGAUGAGUCGCUGCCCCAUCGUCGCACAACUAAUGUCUAGGUUUAUAGUUUCUGUUACAAGAAGAGGAUUGGAGGUGAGUCCACUAGAUUUUUCUUAGAAAGGGCAAGAGAGAUAGGGUAGAUUGUAGACUUUUUCAAAAGGGCCAAGCUUUUUGCAAGCUCUUGGAUACCUCAUUUAGCAAUGCCAAGAUGUGGGUACACACACUCCCUCCCUCUUUCUUCUUUUUCUCUUUUGCAUUUUGAUUUCAAUUUGUUUUUGUGAUUCGGACAAAAGGAUCUUACCAACUGGCCAGGGUGUGGACAUGAGGAUCUUGCAGACUGUAAGUGUUUGUAUAGAAGAAUCUCUUUGCACAUUUUCUUUUGUAUUGUAUAUA